GUAGUCCUAGCCGUAAACGAUGGACACUGAGUGGAGGAGGGCUUGCCUUUCUCUGCUGCAGCUAACGCGUUAAGUGUCCCGCCUGGGGAGUACGGCCGCAAGGUUAAAACUCAAAGGAAUUGACGGGGGCUCGCACAAGCGGUGGAGCAUGUGGUUCAAUUCGAUGCAACGCGAAGAACCUUACCCGGGCUUGAAGUGGAGGUGGUAGAAACCGGAAACGGUAACGACCCCGCAAGGGGAGCCUUCAUCAGGUGUUGCAUGGCUGUCGUCAGCUCGUGUCGUGAGAUGUUGGGUUAAGUCCCGUAACGAGCGAAACCCUUGCGUCUAGUUGCUAACCGAAAGGUGCACUCUAGACGGACUGCCCGUGUCGAAUGGGA
rnacentral:rRNA from 1 species